GCUGGCAUGAUUUUGAUGGUUGGAAUGUGUUUAGAGUUGGCAGAAAAGAUGAGGUGCGCAGAAAAAGCUACUCAAGCAGUGCUUUUUCAAAAUCGCUGUCUUACAUUGGUAAUUGAGCCAUACAUUAGGGUUGGGAGUAUGCAGCAGGGUAGGGUUAGGGUUAGACCAAAUUGGUGACCUGGCAUGAUUUUGAUGGUUGGAAUGUGUUUAGAGUUAGAAGAAAAGAUGAGGUCCGCAGAAAACGCUGCUCGAGCAGUGCUUUUUCAAAAUCGCUGUCUUUCAUUGGUACUUGAGCCCUACAUUAGGGUUUCAGUAUGCACCAAUGUAGGGUUAGGGUUACACAAAAUUGUUGUCCUAGGCCAGAUUUUGAUGGUUGGAAAGUGUUUGGAUUGGCAGAAAAGAUGAGGUGCGCAGAAAAAGCUACUCGAGCAGUGCUUUUUCAAAAUCGCGGUCUUUCAUUGGUAAUUGGGCCCUACAUUAGGGUUGGGGGUAUGCACCAGGGUAGGGUUAAGGUUAGACAAAAUUGGUCUCCUGGCAUCAUUCUGAUGGUUGAAAUGUGUUCAGAGUGGGCAGAAAUCAUGAUCUGCCCAAAACAAGCUACUCAAGCAGUGCUUUUCCAAAAUCGCUGUCUUUCAUUGGUAAUUGAGCACUAAAUUAGGGUUGGGAGUAUGCACCAGGGUAGGGUUAGGGGUAGAAAAAAUUGGUGUCCUGGCAUGAUUUUGAUGGUUGGAAUAUGUUUAGAGUUGGCCGAAAAGAUGAGGUGCGCAGAAAAAGUUCCUCAAGCAGUGCUUUUUGAAAAUCGGUGUCUUUCAUUGGUAAUUGAGCCCUACAUUAGGGUUGGGAGUGUGCACGAUGGUAGGGUUAGGGUUAGACAAACUUGGUGUCCUGGCAUGAUUUUGAUGGUUGGAAUGUGUUUGAGUUGGCAGAAAAGAUGAGAUGCGCAGAAAAAGCUACUCAAGCAGUGCAUUUUCAAAAUCGCUGUCUUUCAUUGGUAAUUUAGCCCUAAAUUAGGGUUGGGAGUAUGCACCAGGGCUGGGUUAGGGUUAGACCAAAUUGGUGUCCUGGCAUGAUUUUGAUGGUUGGAAUGUGUUUAGAGUUGGCAGAAAAGAUGAGGUGCGCAGAAAAAGCUACUCAAGCAGUGCAUUUUCAAAAUCGCUGUCUUUCAUUGGUAAUUGAACCCUACAUUAGGGUUGGGAAUAUGCAGCAAGGUAGGGUUAGGGUUAGAAAAAAUUGGUGUGCUGGCAUGAUUUUGAUGGUUGGAAUGUGUUUAGAGUUGGCAGAAAAGAUGAGGUGCGCAGAAAAAGCUACUCAAGCAGUGCUUUUUCAAAAUCGCGGUCUUUCAUUGGUAAUUGAGUCCUACAUUAGGGUUGGGAGUAUGCACCAGGGUAGGGUUAGGGUUAGAAAAAAUCGGUGUCCUGGCAUCAUUCUGAUGGUUGAAGUGUGUUCAGAGUGGGCAGAAAUGAUGAGCUGCGCAGAAAAAGUUACUCAAGCAGUGCUUUUUCAAAAUCGCUGUCUUUCAUCGGUAAUUGAGCCCUACAUUAGAGUUGGGAAUAUGCACCAAGGUAGGGUUAGGGUUAGAAAAAAUUGGUGUCCUGGCAUGAUUCUGAUGGUUGAAAUGUGUUUAGUGUGGGCAGAAAUGAUGAGCUGCGCAGAAAAAGCUACUCAAGCAGUGCUUUUUCAAAAUCGCUGUCUUUCAUUGGUAAUUGAGCCCUACAUUAGGCUUUGGGUAUGCAGCAGGGUAGGGUUAGGGUCAGAAAAAAUCGGUUUCCAGGCAUGAUUCUGAUGGUUGUAAUGUGUUUAGCAUGGGCAGAAAUGUGGAGUUGUGCAGAAGAGGCUAUUCAAGGACCUUGUUUUCAAAAUCUCCCCCUUUUCAUUGUAAAUUUAGCCCUAUAUUUGGGAUAGGAGGAAGCACCAGGGUUGAGUUAGAGUUUGAAAAAUGAGGUGUCCUGGCAUGAUUCUUUCAUUCAGAAUGUGUUUUGAAUGGGCAGAA